rnacentral:rRNA from 1 species
AGAGUUUGAUCAUGGCUCAGGACGAACGCUGGCGGCGUGCUUAACACAUGCAAGUGGAGCGACGAACCGGGCUUCGGCCCGGGGCAGAGCCGCGAACGGGUGAGUAACACGUGGGUUAUCUGCCCAGUUGACAGGGACAACCCGGGGAAACCCGGGCUAAUACCUGAUGUGCCCCUCGGGGGAAAGGAAGCUUCGGCCUCCGCAACUGGAUGAGCCCGCGGCCCAUUAGCUUGUUGGUGAGGUAAUGGCCUACCAAGGCUGCGAUGGGUAGCUGGUCUGAGAGGACGAUCAGCCACACUGGGACUGAGACACGGCCCAGACUCCUACGGGAGGCAGCAGUGGGGAAUCUUGCGCAAUGCGCGAAAGCGUGACGCAGCAACGCCGCGUGAGGGAAGACGGCCUUCGGGUUGUAAACCUCUUUCAGUUGGGACGAAGGUUCGCCGGUGAAUAGCCGGCUGGACUGACGGUACCUUCAGAAGAAGCCCCGGCUAACUACGUGCCAGCAGCCGCGGUAAUACGUAGGGGGCAAGCGUUGUCCGGAUUUAUUGGGCGUAAAGCGCUCGCGGGUGGUUCGUUGCGUCGUGCGUGAAAGACCCCGGCUCAACUGGGGAGGGUCGUGCGAUACGGGCGAACUGGAGGCCAGUAGGGGGAUGCGGAAUUCCGGGUGUAGUGGUGGAAUGCGUAGAGAUCCGGAGGAACA